GUGGCCACAGGCACUGUUGCCCUCUCGACUGGACGGCCGUGAUCAGAGACGUGGUCACAAUGGCAGGUUUGGGUGAUGUAGCCAGUCCCUCCAUGACCUCCGAGACAGACCCGCCGCCUUGAGCAGAGGGGACACACAGCGGCCCCUGGCGCGAGAAGUCAUGUGUGAGCACAAAGUCAUGUCCCGGAGGGCAGGUCAGCCUGGGACGACGAACACAGGUACAACCACCACUGUCAACACCUCAGGAGACCCCACAGGGCUCCUCAGGUGAAUCUCCCGCAGGCGCAUUCGCCCCCAGGGGAUACGCACAAGGCCUCGCAAACAUCACCCAGCCCGCCAGGGACCCUGAACACCCGCCAUGGUCCUGUGAAACCGCGGCCCAGACAUGAGCACCAACGCCUCUCAUCCAGGCAUCAGACUUCCAGAUGGGCGAGCAAGCUCGGAGACAGACUCCUGCCAGGGCCACCGUGGCGCAUCAAACCUGGCUGCCAUCUGGGGGCAUCUGGCCGCGAGACGAGUGGUUCUCAAGGAAGGGAGGCAAAAGUGGAACAAACAGGCAGGGGAGAUGCCCACACUCGAGUGUACUUGUCCCACGAGCCACGUUCGAAGACCACAUCACGAGGUGCGUGUGCCGGACUGGCUCUCUCCGUGCAGGACUGUGUCUCAGCUGUCAUUCACCUGGUGGUAGAGACCACCUCUCAGGCGGACUGUGCCAGAAGUGAGCAUCACGCGGCAGUGUGUGCCCCCUUUCUGUCACGCACAACCCGGGGACCCCUGAGGAAGUGCAGAGCUCUUUAGAGUAAAAUGGUGCAGCCGCCCGGAACAUACCGGGAAUCUAAAUGAAGUAAUACUGAAG
rnacentral:lncRNA from 1 species